GGAGUUAAAAGAUGUUGCCGAUCGAGAGAUGCCAGCUGAUAAGCCGCAAUCCCCGCUACUGGGAGGAGAGGAGGCCUCGCUAUGAGUACUACAGUACUGAGAUUCAAUAUGGGGGAGGCUAUGGAGGCUAUGCAGCGCCCAUUCCAUUCGACAGGGAUGCCUACAACUUGACUGAUAUCGCAAACCAGGCCACCUACAACGAGAGUGAAGCUAACAUCAACAGCUCAACAGCGUCAGGCCCCAAUGGAGGCAACAACAAACCCUACAAUUUCACUAAGAUUGCUCAAGGGGCCACCUACAAUAAGAGCACUGCUCAUAUUACCAGCAAAACAGGCUGCUAACAAACAUCAGGAACAGUAAGCUC
rnacentral:misc_RNA from 1 species